UUCCCAGUCACCCACUCACUCAGAAAGCCGGGAGUCAUCGGACACCUUGCUGGCAGAGCUCAGAGGAUCUUGGCAUCACCCACCAAAGUUAGCUGAAAGCAGGGCACUCCUGGAUAAAGCAGCUUCACUCAACUCUGGGGAAUGCUACCAUUUUUUUUCCAAAGUAGAAAGGAAGCACUUCUGAGCCAGUGACCACUGAAAGGAGUGGAAUUUGAGGCCUCCCCAACCACCUACCAAAAAAGGAGGGUGAAAUGAAAGGAAGAAGAAAAACUCAGCAUUCUUUCCUCUGACAAAGAGUAAAACGACAAGGAAUAUCGGCCUGAAUUCUCUUCCCAAGAAGAAAGAAAGCACACCAACGCAGGCAUUUGUCUUCUGUCCAUGGUGCUGAAGUUUAUUCACUUUCAAACCACUUUCAGUAACAGGUCUGCGUUGGACACGGCAUUGUACAUGGGAUUAGCUCU
rnacentral:lncRNA from 1 species